rnacentral:sRNA from 1 species
UCUGAAAUAAGCGACCAAAGUUUAGCAGAACAACAACAACAAGA